rnacentral:rRNA from 1 species
CACUAGCAACCCGAGUGGUAGUCGUUCUUAUUUGGCUUAAAGCGUCCGUAGUCAGGCUGUUAAGUCUCCUGUGAAAUCCUGCAGCUUAACUGUAGGGCUUGCAGGGGAUACUGGCGGUCUUGGAGCCGGGAGAGGUUAGGGGUAUUUCUGGGGUAGCGGCGAAAUGCUAUAAUCCUGGAAGGACCACCGAUAGCGAAGGCACCUAACUAGAACGGGCUCGACGAUGAGGGACGAGAGCUAGGGGA